UGAGUUGGUCGGGCAAUCGCGGGUGCUUCACGCAUUCGAGGAAAGUCCGGGCUCCACAGGACAAAGUGCCGGAUAACGUCCGGGAGGCGCGAGCCUACGGCCAGUGCAACAGAGAGCAGACCGCCCCUCACCUAGCUUGAUGAUUUGUUCAUCAAGUUAGGUGAGGGGUAAGGGUGAAAGGGUGCGGUAAGAGCGCACCGCGACUUUGGUAACAAAGUCGGCACGGUAAACCCCACUUGGAGCAAGACCAAAUAGGAAAACAAAUGGUGUGGUCCGCACUUGUUUUCGGGUAGGUUGCUUGAGAGCGACAGUAAUGUCGUCUCCAGAUGAAUGAUUGCCACGAUUUAUCGUACAGAACCCGGCUUACAGACCAACUCAAUUU
rnacentral:RNase_P_RNA from 1 species